rnacentral:tRNA from 1 species
GGCGCCAUAGCUAAGCGGUUAAAGCGAAAGAUUAGAACGGCUGCUGGGCAACCACUUAGCUAUAGCGAUCUUUUCCUCUGUGAGGGCGUAGGUUCGAGUCCUACUGGCGUCG